ACCUGGGGUAGAGGCGCCGUAAUAAAGAGUAAGUAUAAGGAGUUUGCAGACUGUGAUUUAUACUGAAAGGUAUUAUGGCCGAAGAAAUAAAUUAUUGCAGAGAUUUAUUUCUGGGUGCUCAUAAAAUAUGUGAGUAACUGUCACGAAAAGUGUUGAGCUACAAGGUGC
rnacentral:ncRNA from 2 species